rnacentral:rRNA from 1 species
AUUGAACGCUGGCGGCAUGCUUUACAUAUGCAAGUCGAACGGCAGCGCGGGCUUCGUCCUGGCGGCGAGUGGCGAACGGGUGAGUAAUACAUCUGAACGUGCCAGUCGUGGGGGAUAGCUCGGCUAAAGCCGGAUUAAUACCGCAUACGACCUGAGUGUGAAAGCGGGGGAUCUUCGGACCUCUCGCUAUUGGAGCGGCUGAUGGCGGAUUAGCUAGUUGGUGGGGUAAAGGCCUACCAAGGCGACGAUCUGUAGCUGGUCUGAGAGGACGACCAGCCACACUGGGACUGAGACACGGACCAGACUCCUACGGGAGGCAGCAGUGGGGAAUUUUGGACAAUGGGCGAAAGCCUGAUCCAGCAAUGCCGCGUGUGUGAUGAAGGCCUUCGGGUUGUAAAGCACUUUUGGCGGGAAAGAAAAGGACUGUGCCAAUACCACGGUUCGAUGACGGUACCCGCAGAAUAAGCACCGGCUAACUACGUG